GGCAGCAGUGACAGGCUGGGCAGCUGCAGCCCAGCUGCAGUAAGAAGAGCCGCUCGCCCGCCCUGCCACCGCCAUGCUGGGAGCUUUCAGCGGGGCUCCCGGCUGCUGGCCACCGUGCUGCGGACCCCACGGGUCCCCCGGGCACAGAUCACCUCCAAGCCACCCGAACAUCCACUCUCUGCUGCUGAGCAAGCCAUCGCGUUUUCCGUGAUGUCCGCGUGCUUCCUGAUACCAGCAGCCUGGAUCAUGGCACACGUGGAGCACUACAAGCGCAGAUCAGAUUAAGAAGCGGCAAGAACAACCUGCACCCCAUUGAGAGCAGAAGUAUGAGUGAAGAUAAAACCACAGAUCUUCACUGGGAAGGAACCGUCUGAGUUUGUUCAUUAAAAUUCACAUUAGCAUUCAGCA